GUAAGGGACCGAUAAGUCCACAAUCAUGUAAAGACAAUGUUUUAAGAGAAGCGAAUACUCCAAUGCUUUGCAAAAUGUUGGUGUUGAGAGUAGAUCCGUCAAAAUAUAAUUCCUCCACAUUGCUCGACACAUUUAAUUCUAUAGGAUGGGAAGAGGUAUUAGAUGUUAAUAAACGUAAGCUGUUUUGGAAAAGAACAUAAUGACUUUCACUUACCUUGAGUAGCCAGAGUCAUGUUCAGAUAAUUGUAUUGUAGAUGAAAGGCUUUAACUGAUGAGAAAGACUCCACUAAAUUUUGUAAUGGAAUGCUUCCAUCGGUGAAAGCGUGAUAAAGAAACAAAACUUUCAAAUUUCUCAAUCCCUUAUUUUCUGUAAGUGAAAGAAAUAUAUAAAUAUUUGUUUUCAUCAAUAAAAUAAAAUUUUAAUAGAGAAUGUCCAAAUCUUAACAUAACUAUUUAUUCAUUUUAUUAAUUAAACUAAUCCUUUUUUAGCAUUCUAAGAUAAAAU
rnacentral:lncRNA from 1 species